rnacentral:rRNA from 1 species
UACGUAGGGAGCAAGCGUUGUCCGGAAUUAUUGGGCGUAAAGCGCGCGCAGGCGGCCUUUUAAGUCUGAUGUGAAAGCCCACGGCUCAACCGUAGAAGGUCAUUGGAAACUGAAAGGCUUGAGUACAGAAGAGGAAAGCGGAAUUCCACGUGUAGCGGUGAAAUGCGUAGAGAUGUGGAGGAACACCAGUGGCGAAGGCGGCACUCUGGGCCGGUACUGACGCUGAGGAGCGAAAGUGUGGGGAGCGAACAGG